rnacentral:rRNA from 1 species
GAAGCUUUACUGUAUCUUGGAAUUGGGUUUGGGCUUUGCUUGCGCAGGAUAGGUGGGAGGCUUUGAAGAUGUUCUUGCGGGAACAUUGGAGCCAAUGGUGAGAUACCACUCUAGUAAGGCUAAAAUUCUAACUUCGAACCGUUAUCCGGUCGAGGAACAGUUUCAGGUGGGCAGUUUGACUGGGGCGGUCGCCUCCUAAAAGGUAACGGAGGCGUGCAAAGGUUCCCUCAGGCUGGUCGGACAUCAGUCGUAGAGUGUAAAGGCAUAAGGGAGCUUGACUGCGAGACCUACAAGUCGAGCAGAGACGAAAGUCGGCCUUAGUGAUCCGACGGUUCCGAGUGGAAGGGCCGUCGCUCAACGGAUAAAAGUUACUCUAGG